GAUGAACGCUGGCGGCGUGCCUAAUACAUGCAAGUCGAGCGAACAGACGAGGAGCUUGCUCCUCUGACGUUAGCGGCGGACGGGUGAGUAACACGUGGAUAACCUACCUAUAAGACUGGGAUAACUUCGGGAAACCGGAGCUAAUACCGCAUAAUAUAUUGAACCGCAUGGUUCAAUAGUGAAAGACGGUUUUGCUGACACUUAUAGACGGAUCCGCGCCGCAUUAGCUAGUUGGUAAGGUAACGGCUUACCAAGGCAACGAUGCGUAGCCGACCUGAGAGGGUGAUCGGCCACACUGGAACUGGGACACGGUCCAGACUCCUACGGGAGGCAGCAGUAGGGAAUCUUCCGCAAUGGUCGAAAGCCUGACGGAGCAACGCCGCGUGAGUGAUGAAGGUCUUCGGAUCGUAAAACUCUGUUAUUAGGGAAGAACAAAUGUGUAAGUAACUAUGCACGUCUUGACGGUACCUAAUCAGAAAGCCACGGCUAACUACGUG
rnacentral:rRNA from 1 species